rnacentral:rRNA from 1 species
CCCAACUAUCCCUAUUAAUCAUUACGUCAAUCCUAGAAACCAACAAAAUAGGAUCGAACGUCCUAUUUCAUUAUUCCAUGCUAAUGUAUUCAAGCGUUAGCCUGCUUUAAACACUCUAAUUUUUUCAAAGUAACAGUCCUGUUUCCCCGCAACACCAAAUUAAUGGCAUUACGGUUCAUCAGGAAGGAGGAAUCCAGUAAGACCAGUACAUACCAGUGGCACGACCAACCUACUGACCCCGAAAUUCAACU